GCCGCGAACCCCGCCAGGCCCGGAAGGGAGCAACGGUAGUGGUGGAU
rfam:Chromohalobacter salexigens DSM 3043, complete genome.